rnacentral:rRNA from 1 species
GACGAACGCUGGCGGCGUGCUUAACACAUGCAAGUCGAACGGAAAGGCCCUGCUUUUGUGGGGUGCUCGAGUGGCGAACGGGUGAGUAACACGUGAGUAACCUGCCCUUGACUUUGGGAUAACUUCAGGAAACUGGGGCUAAUACCGGAUAGGAGCUCCUGCUGCAUGGUGGGGGUUGGAAAGUUUCGGCGGUUGGGGAUGGACUCGCGGCUUAUCAGCCUGUUGGUGGGGUAGUGGCUUACCAAGGCUUUGACGGGUAGCCGGCCUGAGAGGGUGACCGGCCACAUUGGGACUGAGAUACGGCCCAGACUCCUACGGGAGGCAGCAGUGGGGAAUAUUGCACAAUGGGCGGAAGCCUGAUGCAGCAACGCCGCGUGCGGGAUGACGGCCUUCGGGUUGUAAACCGCUUUCGCCUGUGACGGAGCGUGAGUGACGGUAAUGGGUAAAGAAGCACCGGCUAACUACGUG